rnacentral:rRNA from 1 species
GACGAACGCUGGCGGCGUGCUUAACACAUGCAAGUCGAACGGAAAGGCCCUGCCUUUGUGGGGUGCUCGGGUGGCGAACGGGUGAGUAACACGUGAGUAACCUGCCUUUGACUUUGGGAUAACUUCAGGAAACUGGGGUUAAUACUGGAUAGGAGCUCCUGCUGCAUGGUGGGUGUUGGAAAGUGUCGGCGGUUGUGGAUGGACUCGCGGCUUAUCAGCUUGUUGGUGAGGUAGUGGCUUACCAAGGCUUCGACGGGUAGCCGGCCUGAGAGGGGGACCGGGCACAUUGGGACUGAGCUACGGCCCAGACUCGUAAGGGAGGCAGCAGUGGGGAUUAGUGCACGAUGGGCGGAAGCCUGAUGCAGCAACGCCGCGUGCGGGAUGACGGCCUUCUGGUGGUAAACCACUUUCGCAUGCGACGGAGAGUGAGUGACGGUACUGGGUAAAGAAGCACCGGCUAACUACGUG